rnacentral:rRNA from 1 species
GUAAAUGCGUGCCCGGGGGGCGGGGUAAGACGGAGGGUGCGUGCGUUGUACGGACUGAUGGGGCGGAAAACGUGCGUAGGCGGUGUUGUAAGCCAGAUGUGAAAUCCCCGAGCUUAACUUGGGAACGGCGUUGGGAACUACAAGACUAGGGUGUGUCAGAGGGGGGUAGAGUUCCACGUGUAGCAGUGAAAUGCGUAGAGAUGUGGAGGAAUACCGAUGGCGAAGGCAGCCCCCUGGGAUAACACUGACGCUCAUGCACGAAAGCGUGGGGAGCAAACAGGAUUAGCUACCCUGGUAGUC